rnacentral:rRNA from 1 species
AGAGAUGGAUUGGUUGCCUUCGGGAACUCUGACACAGGUGCUGCAUGGCUGUCGUCAGCUCGUGUCGUGAGAUGUUGGGUUAAGUCCGUAACGAGCGCAACCCUUGUCCUUAGUUACCAGCACGUUAUGGUGGGCACUCUAAGGAGACUGCCGGUGACAAACCGGAGGAAGGUGGGGGAUGACGUCAAGUCAUCAUGGCCCUUACGGCCUGGGCUACACACGUGCUACAAUGGUCGGUACAAAGGGUUGCCAAGCCGCGAGGUGGAGCUAAUCCCAUAAAACCGAUCGUAGUCCGGAUCGCAGUCUGCAACUCGACUGCGUGAAGUCGGAAUCGCUAGUAAUCGUGAAUCAGAAUGUCACGGUGAAUACGUUCCCGGGCCUU